rnacentral:rRNA from 1 species
CCUACGGGAGGCUGCAGUGGGGAAUAUUGCACAAUGGGCGCAAGCCUGAUGCAGCCAUGCCGCGUGUGUGAAGAAGGCCUUCGGGUUGUAAAGCACUUUCAGCGGGGAGGAAGGCGUUAAGGUUAAUAACCUUGUCGAUUGACGUUACCCGCAGAAGAAGCACCGGCUAACUCCGCGCCAGCAGCCGCGGUAAUACGGAGGGUGCAAGCGUUAAUCGGAAUUACUGGGCGUAAAGCGCACGCAGGCGGUCUGUCAAGUCGGAUGUGAAAUCCCCGGGCUCAACCUGGGAACUGCAUUCGAAACUGGCAGGCUAGAGUCUUGUAGAGGGGGGUAGAAUUCCAGGUGUAGCGGUGAAAUGCGUAGAGAUCUGGAGGAAUACCGGUGGCGAAGGCGGCCCCCUGGACAAAGACUGACGCUCAGGUGCGAAAGCGUGGGGAGCAAACAGGAUUAGAUACCCCAGUAGUC